rnacentral:snoRNA from 1 species
UGGACCUAUGAUAAGAAUCCAUCAUAAACCAAAGACUAUGAUUAACCUAAUUAUGUUUACUUGAGUUUCAGA